rnacentral:miRNA from 1 species
GCCUGCCUCGGCCUCCCAAAGUGCUGGGAUUACAGGCGUGAGCCACGGCGCCCGACCAUGAGUAAGUUCUUUAGUGGUGAUUUGUGAGAUUUUG